rnacentral:rRNA from 1 species
UACAGAGGUCUCAAGCGUUGUUCGGAUUCAUUGGGCGUAAAGGGUGCGUAGGUGGCGCCGUAAGUCAGGUGUGAAAUUUCGGAGCUUAACUCCGAAACUGCAUUUGAUACUGCGGUGCUUGAGGACUGGAGAGGAGACUGGAAUUCACGGUGUAGCAGUGAAAUGCGUAGAUAUCGUGAGGAAGACCAGUGGCGAAGGCGGGUCUGCUGGACAGUUCCUGACACUGAGGCAGCGAAGGCCAGGGGAGCAAACGGG